AGGGCUGUGGCUCAAGUGGUAGAGUGCUUGUCUUGCAUGCAUGAGGCCCUGGGUUCGAUUCCUCAGCGCCA
rnacentral:tRNA from 1 species